UGCAUUCGAUACGGGCAAACUAGAGUUUGGUAGGGGAGACUGGAAUUCCUGGUGUAGCGGUGGAAUGCGCAGAUAUCAGGAGGAACACCAAUGGCGAAGGCAGGUCUCUGGGCCAAUACUGACACUGAGGAGCGAAAGUCUGGGGAGCGAACAGGAUUAGAUACCCUGGUAGUCCAGACCGUAAACGGUGGGCACUAGUUGUGGGAACCUUCCACGGUUUCUGCGACGCAGCUAACGCAUUAAGUGCCCCGCCUGGGGAGUACGGUCGCAAGAUUAAAACUCAAAGGAAUUGACGGGGCCCCGCACAAGCAGCGGAGCAUGCGGCUUAAUUCGACGCAACGCGAAGAACCUUACCAAGGCUUGACAUAUAGGGAAAAGUGGCAGAGAUGUCAUGUCCGCAAGGGCUCUAUACAGGUGGUGCAUGGUUGUCGUCAGCUCGUGUCGUGAGAUGUUGGGUUAAGUCCCGCAACGAGCGCAACCCUCGUUCUGUGUUGCCAGCAUUUAGUUGGGGACUCACAGGAGACUGCCGGGGUUAACUCGGAGGAAGGUGGGGAUGACGUCAAAUCAUCAUGCCCCUUAUGUCUUGGGCUGCACGCAUGCUACAAUGGCCGGUACAGAGGGCUGCAAUACCGUAAGGUGGAGCGAAUCCCAAAAAGCCGGUCUCAGUUCGGAUUGAGGUCUGCAACUCGACCUCAUGAAGUUGGAGUUGCUAGUAAUCGUAGAUCAGCAACGCUACGGUGAAUACGUUCCCGGGGCUUGUACACACCGCCCGUCACGUCACGAAAGUCGGUAACACCCAAAGUCAGUGGCCCAACCGUAAGGAGGGAGCUGCCGAAGGUGGGAUCGGUGAUUGGGAUGAAGUCGUAACAAGGUAAC
rnacentral:rRNA from 1 species